rnacentral:rRNA from 1 species
CCUACGGGCCGCACCAGUAGGGAAUCUUCGGCAAUGGACGAAAGUCUGACCGAGCAACGCCGCGUGAGUGAAGAAGGUUUUCGGAUCGUAAAACUCUGUUGUUAGAGAAGAACAAGUAGGAGAGUAGCUGCUCUUACCUUGACGGUAUCUAACCAGAAAGCCACGGCCAACUACGUGCCAGCAGCCGCGGUAAUACGUAGGUGGCAAGCGUUGUCCGGACUUAUUGGGCGUAAAGCGAGCGCAGGCGGUCUUUUAAGUCUGAUGUGAAAGCCCUCGGCUCAACCGAGGAAGGUCAUUGGAAACUGGAGGACUUGAGUGCAGAAGAGGAGAGUGGAAUUCCAUGUGUAGCGGUGAAAUGCGUAGAUAUAUGGAGGAACACCAGUGGCGAAGGCGACUCUCUGGUCUGUAACUGACGCUGAGGCUCGAAAGCGUGGGGAGCAAACAGGAUUAGAUACCCUCGUAGUC